CACAACUGCUCUUUUCGAUUUGCCCAUUUCACAUGCGCCGCUCCAUGAAAACGAAAACAAUCACGCACAUCUGUGACAUCCACACGAACACAUGCGAAAGAGCAGUUACUCUGCGCAAAUAUCGUAGCAUAAACUGGUCAUAUAUCUCCAAUCUCCAAUCCCUUAUCACAGCGACCUAACCCACUGAACUCUUGGACUUCAGAUAAGGUGGGCAGUGUGCAGUUAAUAUGGGUUCUUAACAUAUAUGUCUUAAAUGUUAUGUUUAUAAUAGGUUUUAAGAUUUAAGAGCUUUGUUUUCUCUUCAAGCAUUUAAAACACAGAUCGCUUGCAGCGGAAAUAAAAUGAUUUGAUAGCAACUUGAGUCAAGUGCAGCGUAUUAUAUCAAAUGAAGGUACUAAUUGCAUAAUGGCAGCCAUUGAGCUAAUUGAAUUAGACUCGUUAGCGCGUGAAUUUAGCUAUUAAUUAUUAAAUUGAUUAUUGCCAGAUAAUUCAAUCAAAGGCAUGACUCUGCAACUAAAAGAAACUUGCUAGCAGCAAUUAAAAAGACAAAAUACAUAGUAGCGCAUACAGAGACAUUAAAACCUGAAUUAAGCCAAGCGGGAUAUCUUUAGAACCGGUGCGGAAAAAUGGGUUAAUGGCCAAAACGCUGCGAUUGCCACAUUUUCGGUGGCCAGUAGUCGUCAUCAUAAGCGUGGCAAUCGCAGUGAGUGAGUGGGCUUAUCAACAAUUUAAGCGUAACAAGUUCAGUGCACCGCCAUGUCGCUCGUUUGCUAAUUGGCAGACACACGGCGGCAAUGGCUCCAUUUGGGUAGCGUGCCCCUUGGAGGCCGGUCCAAAACGGUGUUUUUGCUUUGUAUAUUAUUAUAUAGUUUGUUUUUUUUUGUUUUUUGUUUAUUUGGCCAGCAAACCAGUUGUUUGUGGCGCAUAUAUAGAUGUAACUGUCGCACAAGUUGUGCCGGCCGAAUGCCAUUGACCAUCGUCCGUUCAGCGACGUAAACGUGAUCGCAAACGUGGCCGCCGUUGAGCAAUUUCAAUUUCUUACUAAUUUUCCUUGGCUCUUAAUUGGCCAGGAAAAUGUUUGGGAUUGUUGGCCAGCGCUUUUAUGGGCACGUCAUCGUUUCAUGGUCAAGGUUUGCACGCAAGAAUGCCUCCGGCCAACUGCACGGUGAAAAAAUGGAAAGGGAUCUGGUCCAACUAGAGGUGCAAAUGUAACCACUGACCAUCACGAAGGAGGAGCAACUUCCCAUCGACGAUGAGCCGCUGCAGAAAGAGAGAUGAGAAAAGCGACAGUAUUUAUGACGCGCCUCGCACAUUUCCGCACAAUUAAUUGGCCCGAGUUUUCCGAUCGUCGGCGUGUUGCAGCUGCAGUUAACCCAAAUAGCUUCUUGACCAAUUGGGCUAGCCAGUCCAUAGAUCACCAACGCUUUUGCGGCCCAGAGGCAAUGGCACGAGUAACGUUUUAUCGGCGGCCCCUCGAUCUGAAUCCAAAUCGGAGUUGGAGCUGCAGUCUUUGGUUUGAAUCACAGCCUCGAUUCGCCAGUUUUCU